rnacentral:rRNA from 1 species
AGCGAACGCUGGCGGCAGGCCUAACACAUGCAAGUCGAACGAAGCCUUCGGACUUAGUGGCGGACGGGUGAGUAACACGUGGGAACGUACCUUUUGGUUCGGAACAACUCAGGGAAACUUGAGCUAAUACCGGAUGAGCCCUUAGGGGGAAAGAUUUAUCGCCGAAAGAGCGGCCCGCGUUAGAUUAGCUAGUUGGUGAGGUAAAGGCUCACCAAGGCUACGAUCUAUAGCUGGUCUGAGAGGAUGAUCAGCCACACUGGGACUGAGACUCGGCCCAGACUCCUACGGGAGGCAGCAGUGGGGAAUCUUGCGCAAUGGGCGAAAGCCUGACGCAGCCAUGCCGCGUGAAUGAUGAAGGUCUUAGGAUUGUAAAAUUCUUUUACCAGGGACGAUAAUGACGGUACCUGGAGAAAAAGCCCCGGCUAACUUCGUGCCAGCAGCCGCGGUAACAC